CCUACGGGUGGCAGCAGUGGGGAAUAUUGCACAAUGGGCGAAAGCCUGAUGCAGCAACGCCGCGUGAAGGAAGACGGUUUUCUGAUUUUAAACUUCUAUUUAUAGGGAAGAAAGAAAUGACGGUACCUAAAUAAUAAGCCUCGGCUAACUACGUGCCAGCAGCCGCGGCAAUACGUAGGGGGCAAGCGUUAUCCGGAAUUACUGGGUGUAAAGGGAGAGUAGGCGGCAAGGUAAGCGAUAUGUGAAAGCCUUAGGCUUAACCAAAUGAUUGCAUAACGAACUAUCUGGCUAGAGUAUAGGAGAGGAAAGCGGAAUUCCUAGUGUAGCGGUGAAAUGCGUAGAUAUUAGGAAGAACACCAGUGGCGAAGGCGGCUUUCUGGACUGAAACUGACGCUGAGGCUCGAAAGCGUGGGGAGCGAACAGGAUUAGAUACCCGAGUAGUC
rnacentral:rRNA from 1 species